AGGGGAUUUUGUCAACUGCGUUUCUCAUGUCUGCUGCCUGGCUCCUUUGAUUAGAUUGAUAAGUCCUCACCUGACUCGUGGACUGCAGACCGAAAACAGCCUCUGCCUGGGGUUGAACUUAGUUCUGAUUCAGAGAUUUCCAAAUUCCAACCCUGGCUGCAGGGCACUGAUGUGUGAAGCUGGAAGCACUCAGAGGCCUCCGCACCACCGAUACCGGGUACCCUACCUCAUCUGUCUUCUCUUGCUAGUAAAACCUUAUGAGGCCCAGACAAAGCACAAAGUGGGGUAAAGCAGCACAUGGGAAGAAACAGAGACCUCCAGAGACCUAGCAAAACCGGCUGUGAUGCCAGAUCCAUGCUCAAAAUUCAGUAAUCCAUGGGUUACAUGGGGCUUAGUGGGUCCCUUCCUGAAAAGAGAACACAAGAAUCUCUGAAAGGCCCCAACCAGCUUCUUUCCUUAAUAUCUUGCCAUGGGAAUUACAAUUCAACAUGAGUCUCAGAAGGUCAAAGUGUAGCGUACACUCGGAAAAUUCUAAGUUCAGCUAACAAAAUGAGACAGUAGAGACUGAUAGGUCUUCUUUCCUUAAAUGAUUCAGCAAUUGUUUCCCCACCUCUGCUUGGAGACUCUGACACUGAAAGCCUCUUGAGAUAGUACAUAGGCAAGGAGCCCUUCCUUCACUGAAAUGAUACUGUUUGAUACCCAGGAUUGGAAAUGUUAUAACCAAAACAAGCAGGGGAAAAUGAGUAAUAAUGAUCAGAGCAGAAAUCAAUGAUUUGAAAACAAUAAAGGGAUUCAACUGAAAACUUGAAAGUGCUUCCUUGAGAAAAAUUAAAUUGAUAAUGCUCUAGUGAGUUGACACAGGGGAGGAAUUACCUGUAUUAGGAAUAAAAGUGAUGGUGUCAUAACAGAAUUUAUAGAUAGUAAAACAAAGACAAAGGAAAAGUAUGUAUAACUUUAUGCCAAUAUGUUUAACAAAUUUGAUAAAAUGAUCAAGUAUUUAAAAACCAGACUACCAAAGCUCACACAAGAACAGAUGUAUUAAGGAGUCCUGACUCUAUUAAAACACUAGACUUGAACUUAAAAUCCUCACAAGGUCACUGUAAUUUCAAAUGACUUCCCUGGUGAAUCCUAGAAAAGAUUAGGGAAUGAAAUAAUGAAAAUUCUAUGAAAUCUCUUCUCAGCUCAUUCUAUGAGACCAGCUAUACCAUGAUAUCCAAACAAGACAAAAGAGAUGACAAGCAAAGAAAACUAAAAUGAACAUAGAUGAAAAAUUCUGCAAGAAUUGUACUACCCUCAAUCCAAUAAUAUAUAAAAUGGAAAGCACUUCA